AUGUAUAGCGUAAGCUAGUUGCAUUAACUAUUAGUUAAUACAACAUCGACUACGUCGAAUAAAAUUCUAGGUAGAAUAAUGAUUAUGACAAUUUUCUAUCUAUAUGUCUUGACCAAAUCUCGUGCCAGCAGUCGCGGUAAUACGAGGAAGACUAGUGUUAUUCAUCUUUAAUAGGUUUAAAGGGUACCUAGACGGUAUUUCUAGCCCAAAAAGGGUACGGAUCUACUAGAGUUUUAUGUGAGAAGGGGAGUACUUUUGGUGUAGAGAUGAAAUUCUUUGAUACCUUGAGGUGACUGGUAGCGGCAAAAGCAACCUUCUAUGUAGAAACUGACGUUGAGGGACGAAGGCCUGGGUAGCGAAUAGGAUUAGAUACCCUAGUAGUCCAGGCAGAGAAUUAUGAAUGCCAUAGACUAGAUUAAGUUUGGUCUAUAAAUGAAAGUGUAAGCAUUCCACCUCAAGAGUAA
rnacentral:rRNA from 1 species